rnacentral:lncRNA from 1 species
GCUGGUGCUGCUGCUGCCCGGGAGCCCGGCCCGCGGCCCGGCGCGCAGGAGGAGGCAGGAGCUGGUGCUGGGGCAGCUCUGCUUGCUCGGCUCGCUCCUGCUGCUGCUCUCCUCGCUCUCCUGCUGGGCUGGCAGCGCCGGGUCCUGGGUUCUCCUGAGCUGCCAUGACCAGUUGUGGGUAUUACCUGAACUGAGCCACUUAUACUCAUUUCACUUGUGAUGAUGACCAAGACGAAACUCAGGUUUCCAGAAGAACUAGGCAUUUAGUCUCUGCCACUUACUCCUUUAAACUCCAUAGUUAGCGAAUGAAUGGUUAUGAUGUCCUGAGUUAUACCAUGGAAACUAAUGACAAGUGGCAUGGGAGAAAAGUACUUCAAGCAAUUGAGGAGAAUGCCACUGAAAUUCCAGAGGAUGACGAGCAUCAGUACAUCAAGAACUGCACUGAACCAGAUAAUGGGAAUCCUUCCAUCGGCUUCAGUGGAUUUGAGAUCAUCUCCUUUGUCGUGUGUAACUUUGAGUGCUGGACUGAAGGUGGAAACAUGAAUAAAUAUAACGGUCAAAAAGGAUACAUUCACAGGAACAUAUCUUUCUGUGCAGUCAUACUCAAAAGGCCUUGCCUAUGCGGAGGAUGCAAACGCAGCAUUGUUGUAACAGUACCAUUCGCUGCUGGAGAGAAAUCAUCCCUUCACACUUUGUUUCUUGUGAAUGUGAGCUGGUGCUAAUGCCCAGAAGAUCACAUCCAGAAAGGAGCAGUCACCUUGUCUCAUCACAGCUAACCAAUUAAAAUACAUCCGUUUUUUCCCAGAUAUGGUCUUGGUCUUUUAUUAAA